GAUGAACGCUGGCGGCGUGCCUAAUACAUGCAAGUCGAGCGAACGGACGAGAAGCUUGCUUCUCUGAUGUUAGCGGCGGACGGGUGAGUAACACGUGGAUAACCUGCCUAUAAGACUGGGAUAACUUCGGGAAACCGUAGCUAAUACCGGAUAAUAUUUUGAACCGCAUGGUUCAAAAGUGAAAGACGGUCUUGCUGUCACUUAUAGAUGGAUCCGCGCUGCAUUAGCUAGUUGGUAAGGUAACGGCUUACCAAGGCAACGAUGCAUAGCCGACCUGAGAGGGUGAUCGGCCACACUGGAACUGAGACACGGUCCAGACUCCUACGGGAGGCAGCAGUAGGGAAUCUUCCGCAAAGGGCGAAAGCCUGACGGAGCAACGCCGCGUGAGUGAUGAAGGUCUUCGGAUCGUAAAACUCUGUUAUUAGGGAAGAACAUAUGUGUAAGUAACUGUGCACAUCUUGACGGUACCUAAUCAGAAAGCCACGGCUAACUACGUG
rnacentral:rRNA from 1 species